GGGGUUGUGGCUCAGUGGUAGAGCGCUUGCCUAGCAUGUAUGAGACACUGGGUUGGAUCCUCAGCACCA
rnacentral:tRNA from 1 species